AAAUUUUUGGUCUCGUGUCAUGAAAAUUGCAUUCUUUUCUAUUGCAUUAAAAUGUUUGUACAUGACGCCGGGCGAUUUAUCUUUCAGUUUAGCUACGUGGACGUCUCCUGUCGUAUCUAGACAUAUCAGCAUCAACGGAAGAGUGGGCCAGUACUGAAUCCGGAAGAGUGAGCCAGCACCUAGGGUACAUACGUUUAAGAGUGCCUGCUAAAAUUAAAGCUCGGACCACGAACUUAGGACAUCGUAGAUGAAGGAGGGAUUGCUAGCGGUGGCCUACGACGCCCUCUCGGAGGACGUGAGGCGAACUACAUAGUUUGACAAGCGAUAGGAGAUAAUCAAUAACCAUGUCCGUGGAUAAAAUAUAAAAUAAUAAAAACGUACGUUGUAUGAA